CAGCAGCCGCGGUAAUACGUAGGUGGCAAGCGUUGUCCGGAAUUAUUGGGCGUAAAGGGCUCGCAGGCGGUUUCUUAAGUCUGAUGUGAAAGCCCCCGGCUCAACCGGGGAGGGUCAUUGGAAACUGGGAAACUUGAGUGCAGAAGAGGAGAGUGGAAUUCCACGUGUAGCGGUGAAAUGCGUAGAGAUGUGGAGGAACACCAGUGGCGAAGUCGACUCUCUGGUCUGUAACUGACGCUGAGGAGCGAAAGCGUGGGGAGCGAACAGGAUUAGAUACCCCAGUAGUCCCUGUCUCUUAUAC
rnacentral:rRNA from 1 species